UACAGAGGUCUCAAGCGUUGUUCGGAUUCAUUGGGCGUAAAGGGUGCGUAGGCGGCGCGGUAAGUCGGGUGUGAAAUCUCGGGGCUUAACUCCGAAACUGCAUUCGAUACUGCCGUGCUUGAGGACUGGAGAGGAGACUGGAAUUUACGGUGUAGCGGUGAAAUGCGUAGAUAUCGUAAGGAAGACCAGUGGCGAAGGCGGGUCUCUGGACAGUUCCUGACGCUGAGGCGCGAAAGCGUGGGGAGCAAACGGG
rnacentral:rRNA from 1 species